rnacentral:rRNA from 1 species
UGGGGAAUUUUGGACAAUGGGCGAAAGCCUGAUCCAGCAAUGCCGCGUGUGUGAAGAAGGCCUUCGGGUUGUAAAGCACUUUUGUCCGGAAAGAAAUCCUCUGGGUUAAUACCUCGGGAGGAUGACGGUACCGGAAGAAUAAGCACCGGCUAACUACGUGCCAGCAGCCGCGGUAAUACGUAGGGUGCAAGCGUUAAUCGGAAUUACUGGGCGUAAAGCGUGCGCAGGCGGUUUUGUAAGACAGAUGUGAAGUCCCCCGGGCUUAACCUGGGAACUGCAUUCGUGACUGCAAGGCUAGAGUAUGGCANAGGGGGGUAGAAUUCCACGUGUAGCAGUGAAAUGCGUAGAGAUGUGGAGGAAUACCGAUGGCG